rnacentral:rRNA from 1 species
AAUACCUAGGAAUCUGCCUGGUAGUGGGGGACAACGUUUCGAAAGGAAUGCUAAUACCGCAUACGCCCUACGGGGGAAAGCAGGGGAUCUUCGGACCUUGCGCUAAUAGAUGAGCCUAAGUCGGAUUAGCUAGUUGGUGGGGUAAAGGCCUACCAAGGCGACGAUCUGUAGCGGGUCUGAGAGGAUGAUCCGCCACACUGGGACUGAGACACGGCCCAGACUCCUACGGGAGGCAGCAGUGGGGAAUAUUGGACAAUGGGCGAAAGCCUGAUCCAGCCAUGCCGCGUGUGUGAAGAAGGUCUUCGGAUUGUAAAGCACUUUAAGUUGGGAGGAAGGGCAGUAAGCGAAUACCUUGCUGUUUUGACGUUACCAACAGAAUAAGCACCGGCUAACUCUGUGCCAGCAGCCGCGGUAAUACAGAGGGUGCAAGCGUUAAUCGGAAUUACUGGGCGUAAAGCGCGCGUAGGUGGUUCGUUAAGUUGGAUGUGAAAUCCCCGGGCUCAACCUGGGAACUGCAUCCAAAACUGGCGAGCUAGAGUAGGGCAGAGGGUGGUGAAAUUUCCUGUGUAGCGGUGAAAUGCGUAGAUAUAGGAAGG